CACUGUGCGGACCAAGGUCGCCUCAAACUCACAAAAUCUUCUUUCUGUCUCCUGGGUACUGGGAUUAAAGAAAGGCAGCCAGGAGGAGGCUCUGAUUCCACACUGGGCGGAGCUUAGGCAUAAGGACCUCAAAGGCCACCGCCCCAGUGACGCACUUCCUCCAACAAUCUCCUAAUAGUGCCACUUCCUGUGGGCCAAACAUUCAAACAGAUUUGGAAAGCCAUUGGAGAGACAACCAAGUGCAAUGGGGGAAAAAAGCUCAAAAGGACCCCAAAGGCACUCUACAUGGUGGAAGAAGACAUUCUCAAGUCAAGCUGCGGAGCAGACUGAGGGCAGAGCAGACUGAGGGCAGAGUAGCUGCCUGGAAGAAGCAGAAACCAGCUGAGCUGCCUGAGGCUGUGCAGGAGCUCCAGGUCCCCAGUGUUGUGCGCUGUCACCCAUGCUGGAGUGGAACUUGAUAAUGCACUGCAAUCAAGUCAUUUGUGCUCUUGCACAGAGUGCCCCACCCAUAUUCCUGUAAGUAACCAAUAAAACUCAUUGAUUCCUCAA
rnacentral:lncRNA from 1 species